AUGUCUCAGACAAUCCAGUCUUGUGCAGCACGCUGUCCCAGGCUUACAGUUGCUCUGGAUGACAUGGAGGAAAUGAACAAACUCAGUCAAAUAUGCCAGUGUGCAGUGCUCUGCCUCCCCCACCUGUCCUGUUGGCUUCCCUCCUGGCCCAGCAGCACAGGGAGACAUACCUGUAAAAAGUGGGAGCCUUUCACUGGGAAGCCACUGAGCAGGGACAGAGGGCCACUGUGGACUCAGGGGAGCAUGGCAUGGAAGCCCUGGCAGUGUUGCAGACUCUCAGUUGCUGUUUCCAGCCUUGCUGGGGCCUCUUGGCUUGGCUGGAACCCUGGGCUGCCGUUCUGCAGAGAGGAGCCUGCAGGCGCUCCUACCCCAGCCAGCUACGGCAUGCAGGGCUCUGCAUCUGUGCUUGGGCUUUUCUGGACUCCUAGGGAACGAGGCGGGUGGGUGGGGGCUACUCAGGGCUGACAGGCUGCAGGCCUCAGCUCUGAGGUUAUUGUUCUUGUUUCCUGGGCCUGGUCCAGCGUUGGGGACCAGCCUGUGGCUACCAGAGCUGCUGGGACUAAUUUGGGGCUGGUGUUGGGGUGUGGGUUCAGGAUGCUGAGUCUGUGCGAUAAUAAACCUGUGUCUGCUCACAGGCUCGGGCUGGGCUGUCGUGUCUGCUUGUGAUGAGGCCCCUGGUGAGGAGUUGCUGAAGGAGGGCGGGAGAGGCUGAGGGGCUGGGCCUUGCCGUCUGU
rnacentral:lncRNA from 1 species